rnacentral:rRNA from 1 species
CCUACGGGGAGCAGCAGUAGGGAAUUUUCGUCAAUGGGCGCAAGCCUGAACGAGCAAUGCCGCGUGAACGAGGAAGGUCUUCGGAUCGUAAAGUUCUUUUGAAGGGGAACAAGAGCGGAAGUAGGAAAUGCUUUCUGAUUGAUAUUACCCUUCGAGGAAGUCACGGCUAACUCCGUGCCAGCAGCCGCGGUAAUACGUAGGUGGCGAGCGUUGUUCGGAAUUUCUGGGCGUAAAGGGAGUGUAGGCGGAUAUGUAAGAUAGCGGUGAAAUACCGGGGCUCAACCCCGGAAUUGCCAUUCUGACUAUGUAUCUAGAGUAAUGGAGAGGAGAGCGGAAUACCCAGUGUAGAGGUGAAAGUCGUAGAGAUUGGGUAGAACACCGGUGGCGAAGGCGGCUAUCUGGCCAUUUACUGACGCUGAGGCUCGAAAGCAUGGGGAUCAAACAGGAUUAGAUACCCGGGUAGUC